GGAGCGGUAGUUCAGUUGGUUAGAAUACCUGCUUGUCACGCAGGAGGGCGCGGGUUCGCGUCCUGUCCGUUCCGCCA
rnacentral:tRNA from 1 species